rnacentral:rRNA from 1 species
UUCCGGAAGGGGGACUGCGGAAGGAUCAUUAGUGAAUAUAGGACGUCCAACUUAACUUGGAGUCCGAACUCUCACUUUCUAACCCUGUGCACUUGUUUGGGAUAGUAACUCUCGCAAGAGAGCGAACUCCUAUUCACUUAUAAACACAAAGUCUAUGAAUGUAUUAAAUUUUAUAACAAAAUAAAACUUUCAACAACGGAUCUCUUGGCUCUCGCAUCGAUGAAGAACGCAGCGAAAUGCGAUAAGUAAUGUGAAUUGCAGAAUUCAGUGAAUCAUCGAAUCUUUGAACGCACCUUGCGCUCCAUGGUAUUCCGUGGAGCAUGCCUGUUUGAGUGUCAUGAAUACUUCAACCCUCCUCUUUCUUAAUGAUUGAAGAGGUGUUUGGUUUCUGAGCGCUGCUGGCCUUUACGGUCUAGCUCGUUCGUAAUGCAUUAGCAUCCGCAAUCGAACUUCGGAUUGACUUGGCGUAAUAGACUAUUCGCUGAGGAAUUCUAGUCUUCGGACUAGAGCCGGGUUGGGUUAAAGGAAGCUUCUAAUCAGAAUGUCUACAUUUUAAGAUUAGAUCUCAAAUCAGGUAGGACUACCCGCUGAACUUAAGCAUAUCA